UUGACCGGCUUCUGCGUUUGGUUUUAGUUUUAAAGGGAAGCAUUUGAGUUGACAGAAAAUAGAGAAGAUAUGGAGUCUUUCUUUACUAAAUUAUUAUAAAAAAAAUAAAAAAUAACCCAAAAUAUUAUAAUUUUUUUUUAUUUACCAAAAUAUUAUAAUUUUUUUAUUUACCAAAAUAUACAAAAAAACAAAAAACAGAAAAAAAAAACCUGCACCGAUUUGACCACACCCUGGUGGAGGGUUUUGGAUUGGCGGCACCAAAGGUGCCAAAGUGAUUGGCGGCACCAGUCCUAUAAUGGGGCCGAUCGGUGGUGGGGGGAGAAUGAGAGGGAAAGAAAGAAAGGAAGAAAGAAAGGAAGGGAAAGAAAGAAAAGGAAAGGAGAGGAAAGAAAGAAAAAGAAGGAAAGAAAAGGAAAUGAGAAGAAAAAAUAAAGAAAAAGAAGGAAAGAAAAGGAAAGGAGAAGAAAAAAGAAAGAAAAAGAGGAAAGAAAAGGAAAGGAGAAGAAAAAAGAAAGAAAAAGAGGAAAGAAAAGGAAAGGAGAAGAAAAAAGAAAGAAAAUGAAUGAAAGAAAAUGAAAGGAGAAGAGAAAAAAAAGAAAGAAGAAGAAGAGGGAAGGAAGGAAAAAACGAAAAAAAAAAGGUAAUUUUUAUUAUAAAUUUAAUUUUUUUUGUAAUAUUUGUG
rnacentral:lncRNA from 1 species